rnacentral:rRNA from 1 species
AUUGAACGCUGGCGGCAGGCCUAACACAUGCAAGUCGAACGCGUGGCGGACGGGUGAGUAAUGUCUGGGAAACUGCCUGCUGGAGGGGGAUAACUACUGGAAACGGUAGCUAAUACCGCAUACCAUCGGAUGUGCCCAGAUGGGGUUAGCUAGUCGGGGGGGUAAUGGCUCACCUAGGCGACGAACCGUAGCUGGUCUGAUAGGAUGACCAGCCACACUAGAACUUAGACACGGUCCAGAUUCCUACGGGAGGUAGCAAUGGGGAAUAUUGCACAAGGGGCGCAAGCCUGAGGCAGCCAUGCGUCGUGUAUGAAGAAGGCCUUCGGGUUGUAAAGUACGUGCAGCGGGGAGGCGUUACCCGCAGAAGAAGCACCGGCUAACUCCGUGCCAGCAGCCGCGGUAAUAC